rnacentral:misc_RNA from 1 species
CUGUGGGAUUACAUAUGCGUAUAGUGUUAAUUCUAUAAACAUAUAAGUAUCAACUCACAAAGUUAUCAGGUGAGAUUAGCUUUAUCAAUGAAUAAACAUGUUGUUGCACAGCUAAUAGUGUCAUGUCGUGGCUUGACCACAGUAUCUGGAAGAAUUUCCAAUAUUUGGAUUCAUCCUUCUGUAGGAGUGGCAGGUUUGAUCAUGCAGCAAUACAUUAGCAGUAAACUGUAGUACAAAUCUAUCUUUUUAAAAGUUUGUAU